rnacentral:rRNA from 1 species
GACGUCAAAUCAUCAUGCCCCUUAUGUCCUGGGCUACACACGUACUACAAUGGCGAUUAACAAUGGGAAGCAAUGUCGCGAGGCGGAGCAAACCCCAAAAUCGUCCCAGUUCGGAUUGCAGGCUGAAACUCGCCUGUAUGAAGUCGGAAUUGCUAGUAAUCGCGGAUCAGCAUGCCGCGGUGAAUACGUUCCCGGGCCUU